GACGAACGCUAGCGGGAUGCUUUACACAUGCAAGUCGAACGGAGUGGCGAACGGGUGAGUAAUGUAUCGGAACGUGCCCAGUAGCGGGGGAUAACUACGCGAAAGCGUAGCUAAUACCGCAUACUAUUGGAGCGGCCGUUAUCGGAUUAGCUAGUUGGUGAGGUAACGGCUCACCAAGGCGACGAUCCGUAGCUGGUUUGAGAGGACGACCAGCCACACUGGGACUGAGACACGGCCCAGACUCCUACGGGAGGCAGCAGUGGGGAAUUUUGGACAAUGGGGGCAACCCUGAUCCAGCCAUCCCGCGUGUGCGAUGAAGGCCUUCGGGUUGUAAAGUACUUUCAGUCGGGAGGCGUUACCGACAGAAGAAGCACCGGCUAACUCCGUGCCAGCAGCCGCGGUAAUUC
rnacentral:rRNA from 1 species